rnacentral:rRNA from 2 species
UGCAGUCGACGACUCUGGUAUUGAUUGGUGCUUGCAUCAUGAUUUACAUUUGAGUGAGUGGCGAACUGGUGAGUAACACGUGGGAAACCUGCCCAGAAGCGGGGGAUAACACCUGGAAACAGAUGCUAAUACCGCAUAACAACUUGGACCGCAUGGUCCGAGUUUGAAAGAUGGCUUCGGCUAUCACUUUUGGAUGGUCCCGCGGCGUAUUAGCUAGAUGGUGGGGUAACGGCUCACCAUGGCAAUGAUACGUAGCCGAUCUGAGAGGGUAAUCGGCCACAUUGGGACUGAGACACGGCCCAAACUCCUACGGGAGGCAGCAGUAGGGAAUCUUCCACAAUGGACGAAAGUCUGAUGGAGCAACGCCGCGUGAGUGAAGAAGGGUUUCGGCUCGUAAAACUCUGUUGUUAAAGAAGAACAUAUCUGAGAGUAACUGUUCAGGUAUUGACGGUAUUUAACCAGAAAGCCACGGCUAACUACGUGCCAGCAGCCGCGGUAAUACGUAGGUGGCAAGCGUUGUCCGGAUUUAUUGGGCGUAAAGCGAGCGCAGCGGUUUUAAGUCUGAUGUGAAAGCCUCCGGCUCACCGAGAGUGCAUCGAAACUGGGAAACU